UGAAGGAUAUGUAAUACUGCCUA
rnacentral:siRNA from 1 species